GAUUGGAUCCAGCGUGCUGUAGAGGUUUCUGAUUGGAUCCAGCAUGCUGUAGAGAGGUUUCUGAUUGGAUCCAGCGUGCUGUAGAGAGGUUUCUGAUUGGAUCCAGCGUGCUGUAGAGAGGUUUCUGAUUGGAUCCAGCGUGCUGUAGAGAGGUUUCUGAUUGGAUCCAGCGUGCUGUAGAGAGGUUUCUGAUUGGAUCCAGCGUGCUGUAGAGAGGUUUCUGAUUGGAUCCAGCGUGCUGUAGAGGUUUCUGAUUGGAUCCAGCGUGCUGUAGAGGUUUCUGAUUGGAUCCAGCAUGCUGUAGAGAGGUUUCUGAUUGGAUCCAGCAUGCUGUAGAGAGGUUUCUGAUUGGAUCCAGCGUGCUGUAGAGAGGUUUCUGAUUGGAUCCAGCAUGCUGUAGAGGUUUCUGAUUGGAUCCAGCGUGCUGUAGAGAGGUUUCUGAUUGGAUCCAGCGUGCUGUAGAGAGGUUUCUGAUUGGAUCCAGCGUGCUGUAGAGAGGUUUCUGAUUGGAUCCAGCAUGCUGUAGAGAGGUUUCUGAUUGGAUCCAGCAUGCUGUAGAGAGGUUUCUGAUUGGAUCCAGCAUGCUGUAGAGAGGUUUCUGAUUGGAUCCAGCAUGCUGUAGAGAGGUUUCUGAUUGGAUCCAGCGUGCUGUAGAGAGGUUUCUGAUUGGAUCCAGCGUGCUGUAGAGAGGUUUCUGAUUGGAUCCAGCGUGCUGUAGAGAGGUUUCUGAUUGGAUCCAGCGUGCUGUAGAGAGGUUUCUGAUUGGAUCCAGCGUGCUGUAGAGAGGUUUCUGAUUGGAUCCAGCGUGCUGUAGAGAGGUUUCUGAUUGGAUCCAGCAUGCUGUAGAGAGGUUUCUGAUUGGAUCCAG